rnacentral:rRNA from 1 species
CCCUUAGAUGUUCUGGGCCGCACGCGUGCUACACUGAGUGGAUCAGCGGGUCAGGUUGCGCGAAAGUGUUUCCUAAUCUUUAAAUCCGCUCGUGAUGGGGAUUGACGGUUGCAAUUUUCCGUCAUGAACGAGGAAUACCUUGUAAGCGCGGGUCAUCAUCCCGCGCUGAAUACGUCCCUGCCCUUUGUACACACCGCCCGUCGCUCCUACCGAUUGAGUGGUCCGGUGAGGCUUUGGGAUCUGAGCGGAAAGAGCGUUUCGCUGUUUCUGCCCAGAAAACUCAGUCGAACCUUAUCAUUUAGAGGAAGGAGAAGUCGUAACA